GAUGAACGCUGGCGGCGUGCUUAACACAUGCAAGUCGAACGAGAAGUGGAGACGGAAACCUUCGGGCGGAAGACUUUAUUUCGAGUGGCGGACGGGUGAGUAACGCGUGGGUAACCUGCCUCAUACAGGGGGAUAACAGUUGGAAACGACUGUUAAUACCGCAUAAGACCACAGCACCGCAUGGUGCGGGGGUAAAAACUCCGGUGGUAUGAGAUGGACCCGCGUUCGAUUAGCCAGUUGGCGGGGUAACGGCCCACCAAAGCGACGAUCGAUAGCCGAUCUGAGAGGAUGACCGGCCACAUUGGGACUGGGACACGGCCCAAACUCCUACGGGAGGCAGCAGUGGGGAAUAUUGCACAAUGGGGGAAACCCUGAUGCAGCGACGCCGCGUGAGUGAAGAAGUAUUUCGGUAUGUAAAGCUCUAUCAGCAGGGAAGAAAAUGACGGUACCUGAGUAAGAAGCCCCGGCUAACUACGUG
rnacentral:rRNA from 1 species